UCCACUCGCUGUCUUUGUGUAUAACUACACACAUGUUGAGUGUUUUCAGAUGCCAGCCUAUGUCCAAACCACUCUCCCCACUGUCUGAAGAGAAGGAGAUUUGAAGCGGUUGGCCACUCUCUUGCAGUACGCUGUACAGUCAGACCCUCCACCUCGACAUACGCACUGUUGUGUCCCUUUCCAUUGCUACCGUUUUUUGGGUACGUGUGCUUGUCUAGAAGCUGAAGCAGCAUCGCCCUGUGUUCUCAUCUGCCCCGUCCUGCCUGUGUAAAGAGGUGUUGUAUCUCCCCUCAUAUGUCUAUUGGAGUACUAAUAUUAGUGAAGGAAAUUGUGUGCUCUCUGUUACCAGCCUGCAGGUCCGAGCCAAGGGCUCCGUAUCAUCGUUGGACUGUUUCACUAGAUGUUGGGAAGUCAACGCCUGGGUGUUCACUGAAGUCUACCUGUGAGUGGAAAACGAGAAGUUUGUCCUCCAGCCUCCUAAGCCUUGAAGGGCUAAAGUCAUGUGUAUUCGCCCACCCGCUUGCCUAGGAUGGUACUCCUUUGGUAGUACUCGGUGACUUCAACAUCCACCUGGAGAAACCAUAGGCAGCUGACUUCAACACUCUGACUGCGUCGUUUGACCUCAAGCGAGUCCCUACUUCACCAACACACAGACACAUUAUGCCCUCUGACAUCUGGACCGGGCCGGGUCACACCACCUGCUCCUUGGCUAACUGAGGUUCUCCGUGAGCAUCGCUCCACACUCAGGGCUGCAGAGAGGAAGUGGCGCUGCUCUGGGUCAGCACCCCCUUACCUUCGCUUAAUUAUAGAGUCUUAUGUACCCUCUCGAUCACUGCGCUCUGCCACAGAGCGACGGCUUGUGGUACCAUCUUAAAAAGGGAAGAAAACACUAGCGCGUACCUUCUCAGGAACUGUUCCACAAAUGUGGAAUGAUCUACUGGUCGUGACACGAUCUGCUGACACUGUAGCUGUCUUUAAGACUCUGCUAAAAACCCAUCUCUUCCGCCAUUACCUCAGUACCUAA